UGUUAGAACUAGACGGUCGGUGCGGUAAUUUGCCGCAAAAGAAAGUGGUACUAGACCACCUACUGUGAGCCUGUGACGCCCGCGCACGCAUCCAAAUGCACUAAUUUGCAUGACAAGGUAACUGUUUUUAGAACU
ensembl:ncRNA F54H5.11 ncRNA